GGCAAGAUGGCCGAGCGGUCUAAGGCGCUGUGUUCAGGAAAACUCUCGAGUUCUCUAGAGUAUCGCAGUCCGAAAGGGCGUGGGUUCGAAUCCCACUCUUGUCA